rnacentral:rRNA from 1 species
AACGAACGCUGGCGGCAUGCCUAACACAUGCAAGUCGAACGAUUGCCUUCGGGUGAUAGUGGCGCACGGGUGCGUAACGCGUGGGAAUCUGCCCUUAGGUUCGGAAUAACAGCUGGAAACGGCUGCUAAUACCGGAUGAUAUCGCGAGAUCAAAGAUUUAUCGCCUGAGGAUGAGCCCGCGUUGGAUUAGGUAGUUGGUGGGGUAAAGGCCUACCAAGCCGACGAUCCAUAGCUGGUCUGAGAGGAUGAUCAGCCACACUGGGACUGAGACACGGCCCAGACUCCUACGGGAGGGAGCAGUGGGGAAUAUUGGACAAUGGGCGCGAGCCUAAUCCAGCAAUGCCGCGCGAGUGAUGAAGGCCCUAGGGUUGUAAAGCUCUUUUACCCGGGAAGAUAAUGACUGUACCGGGAGAAUAAGCCCCGGCUAACUCCGUG